ensembl:lncRNA
AAAAUGAAGAUCCAGAUUCUCCUGCUGGCCUGUGCUUUUGUGGCUGCGAUCAUUGCCGCACCAUCAGCAGAUGAUUCUGCUAAACCCAAAGCCAUCCAUGAUGAGGUUAAAGCUGAUGUGCCAAAGUCAAAUCUGGACGCUGCUGGGGUGAAGGAGCCCAACAUGGAGGACGACUUAGAAGAUGAUGAGGUCAACAUGGAGGAGGAUUCUGAGGAUGAUAAACCCAACAUGGACGAGGAUUCCGAAGCUGAUGAGCCCGACAUGGAUGAGGAUACCGAAGAUGAUGAGCCCGACAUGGACGAGGAUUCCGAAGAUGAUGAGCCCAAGAAAGAUGAGCCUGAGAACACUAUAGGUGUUUUACUGAGGCUCUUAUCAAACCUUCCGAAGUGAUAUUCAGCAUCACGGGUGUCGACAUGAUGACCACCACGACAUGCUAACGCAUUAAAACCAGCUGAGGCGAUGUCUUACAGUGAUGGGAUCAAAUAAAAGCUUUUCACAUGCCGAAAUGAAAUAUUUGCCAGAGUGUCAUCAUUUGUAUUUUCUUGUGCUUUUCACUCAAUAACUGUUUUUCUGUGUAAUUAUACUGUGCAGUACUUUUACAUCUGCUACCCUAAAAGGUAGCAUUUUCUGUAUCUUUGCUAUAUUUUGAUUCCCACAACCCUGAAAUUAAUCCAAAAUGUAUUCUAAAAGGUGUCCAUUAAAUUAAACAUAUACAGUGCUGUGAAAAAGUAUUUGCUCCCUUACAGAAUUAUUUUGUUAUUGCUUUUUUGUCACACUUGCAUUUUUCAGAUCAUCAAAGAAAUUUUGAUAUUAGACAAAGAUGACCUUAGAAAAUACAAAAUACAGUUUUUAAAUGACGAUUUCCUGGCCCUGUGUGAAAAAGUGAUUGCCCCCUAAACCUAAUGACUGGUUGUGCCACCCUUUGGCGGCAACUACUGCAAUCAAGCAUUUGCACGUGAUUCCUAGGAACUAAAACUGUUCCACCUCAGCUCCACUGAUGUAGACAGGGAAGUGUGUCUUUGAGUCCAUUUUUUAAAAAUCAACAAUCAGCUCCGUGGUUUUUUGCCGAUGUUGAACAGUUGAUUGUUCUCUGUGCACCAGUCUGCAUGAUAGUUGAUUUCCUCCCGAUAGGAACUCUCAUCCUUGUUUGUAAUGUGGCCAACGAUGGUGGUGUCAUCCGUGUACUUCACUUUAAAGUUCUCUUGAUGCCUGGGAGCGCAAUCAUGGGUGUACAGUGUAAACAGUAGGUGGGGGAGCACAUAGCCCUGGAUGGCUCCAGUGCUGAGUGCUAGAGUAAAGAAGGUCUGGCUGCCAAUCUGUACCUUCUGGGUUCUACAUGUGAGGAAGUCUAAAUAUCCAUUUGCAAAGAGUAGCAGUCAAGCCCAGUGUCUGAAGUUUUCCAAUGAGCCUCAUGGGUGAGCUUGUAUUCAAUGCUGAGCUAAAGUCAACAAACAGCAUUCUGAUGUAGCUGCUUUUAUUUUCAAGUUGUGUGAAAACUGAGUGGAGGGCAGUGGAUAUGGCAUCCUCUGUGGAUCUGCUGGUUCUGAAAGCAUACAGGUGAGGGUUCAGGCUGGCAGGGAAGUUGUUAGUAAAAAUGUCAGUAAUGACAUGAGUUUGCUUAUUGACAGAUGUGAGUCUUCUCACAUCUGCUGUGGUUAGCUGUUGAGUAGAUCGAAGCAAGCAUAAAAUGUGUGUAGCUCAUGUGGCCUCAAACAUGAUUGGGGCGCUCCUCCUUAUGUAGGCUGUGACAUUUUGAAUCACCGGCCACAUAUCUUUAGUGCUAUUGGUGAUGUGUUCUCUGAAGAGAGCCGUCUCUUAAAUUUGACUAUUUUCAUUAGUCUUUGGCCAGGACAUUUUGAAUGGAUUUCACGUGAGCCACACAGUGAGCAAACAUAGUGAGUAAUCCCUGUGGGAUAUGUGACCAGAAGCAUGUCCCUCCAGAGAGAUGUUUGGAGAAGAAACAGGUUUAUGAUAGGAGAUUCACUUUUGGUGAUGUGUAUUUACCUCAGAGUCAUUUUGGGUCAUUUUGUCCAACAAAAAUACUCAUCAACUAGUGACACUUUGGGGUGGCAGCCGACCAGACCUACAAUUCCAAAGCAUCAGUGUUCGACAAUUUGGGAAUGAUACUCAGAAAUCCAUUAAUCUUACAAAUUGGACCUUUAACUUUGGACUUCAGUUGGUAAUGCAGUAUUUUGACAGACACUUUUACCAAAUCAUAGUUGUGCAUCCUCGCUGUAAUCGCAAGUAGGAUUCUUUUAAAGUUGUGAAACCAAUGUUUGUAUAAUUUCAAUUAAAAUCAAAUGUCACAAUAUUUUUCACCAAAUACCUUGAGAUUGAUACUGCAACAAUAUUGUAGGGAUGACAACUGGUACUUUCGCAAAAUAUGAACAGAGUGACAUUUGCCCUGGAGCAUGUUUGUCACAGACCAGCAAAACACGUGGAAACUUUUCAUUGGUUGAGCUUUGUACUGGUUUGACGUGUGUGGCUCCUUUGGAAAAAAGUGAUGUCAUGUAACUCUGUGCACCAAGUUAUGUUGCUUCUAUUGCCCAGCCGAUGUCCAUCAAAUCUGAUCAGAACACACACCUACAGACUCGUUAUGAAGUGGCUUUUUUUCCAAACACUAUCUUUGAUUGAUGCUCCUUGACACAGAAUAGUUUAUUGUCAUAUGCUAAAAACCUUGGGUUGGCUACUCGGAGUUAAUGUCAGUAUUUGAAGGCCUCAGGAUGAGACUUUACAGUUGUUGUCAUGAACUGAAUCUGACAAAGUCAAGACAAAAUUUGCCAAAUUUUUGGUCUAUAUCACAAUACAUGAUAUAUAUCUGAAUAUUUUGACCUCUCCUCAGAAGGACUUCAUAAAAGUUGCAACUAGGCGACAAAAUCAAAUAUCACAAUAUUUUUGACUUAACAUCUCAAUACUGAUAUUGCAGCAUCUUUGUGCGAAUGACUGCUGGUACUUUUAUAAAAUACAAACACAAUGACAUUUGCCUUAGAGCAUGUUUGUCACAGACCAGCAAAACAUGUGGUGACUUUUCAUUGGAUGAGCUUUGUUGAUGAACAAACAUUCUUAGCUCAGAAGUACAUAUAUAUUGAAGGUGCAUCAGUUGGAAAGUCAAAACACUCCUGACUUGAGUUGAAGUUCUGUGGACCUGAGAGCUACUGAAAACUGAAGGUAAAUACAGCACCUUUGUUUUACUCUUUAUUCAGACCCACAGACUGAACAGCAUCUGUUGCUAACUACUCACGGACCAUUUCACAGUAUUUUUGUACAUUUUGAUGUUUCCUUUCAGAUAAUGAAGAUCCAGAUUCUCCUGCUGGCCUGUGCUUUUGUGGCUGUGAUCAUUGCCGCACCAUCAGCAAAUGAUUCUGCUAAACCCAAAGGUAACUAGAUGAUAAACUCUGAUGUCAUGUAUCAAGGAGUAUAUGCACCAUAUAUCAUA